AUUCCUACGGGAGGCAGCAGUGGGGGAUAUUGCACAAUGGGGGGAACCCUGAUGCAGCGACGCCGCGUGAGUGAAGAAGUAUUUCGGUAUGUAAAGCUCUAUCAGCAGGGAAGAAGAAAGACGGUACCUGAGUAAGAAGCCCCGGCUAACUACGUGCCAGCAGCCGCGGUAAUACGUAGGGAGCAAGCGUUAUCCGGAUUUAUUGGGUGUAAAGGGUGCGUAGACGGGAAAUUAAGUUAGUUGUGAAAUCCCUCGGCUCAACUGAGGAACUGCAACUAAAACUGAUUUUCUUGAGUGCAGGAGAG
rnacentral:rRNA from 1 species